UUCCGCCUCUGCUCCAGCGCCGGCAGCCGCUCCUCCCGGGCCUGCGCGUGCCGGGCCCCCGCCCUGUGCGCCGCCUCUGUGGCCAAGAUGUCGAUCUGCGCGUAGCGGGAAGCACCGGCCCCUGCGAGCAGCCCCAGGUGCCCUGCCCCUCCCAGGCAGGAUGCCCCCCCCCCUCGGCUGUCCUCCCGGCUCACCCCAUCUGCUUCGGGGACCCUCUUUGGACCGUCUGAGAACGUAUUACAAACAGUGUCAGGUGUGAAGAGCAACAUGCGGCUUCAGCCAGCAGCGAAGGUACAAAGCGAAACAGUUACAGCUGAGCUGUGUGCGGGACGCAG